AGAGUUUGAUCCUGGCUCAGGAUGAACGCUAGCGACAGGCCUAACACAUGCAAGUCGAGGGGCAGCGGAGAGGUAGCAAUACCUUUGCCGGCGACCGGCGCACGGGUGAGUAACACGUAUGCAAUCCACCUGUAACAGGGGGAUAACCCGGAGAAAUCCGGACUAAUACCCCAUAAUAUGGGCUCUCCGCAUGGAGGGUCCAUUAAAGAGAGCAAUUUUGGUUACAGACGAGCAUGCGCUCCAUUAGCCAGUUGGCGGGGUAACGGCCCACCAAAGCGACGAUGGAUAGGGGUUCUGAGAGGAAGGUCCCCCACAUUGGAACUGAGACACGGUCCAAACUCCUACGGGAGGCAGCAGUGAGGAAUAUUGGUCAAUGGUCGGCAGACUGAACCAGCCAAGUCGCGUGAGGGAAGACGGCCCUACGGGUUGUAAACCUCUUUUGUCGGAGAGUAAAGUACGCUACGUGUAGCGUAUUGCAAGUAUCCGAAGAAAAAGCAUCGGCUAACUCCGUGCCAGCAGCCGCGGUAAUACGGAGGAUGCAAGCGUUAUCCGGAUUUAUUGGGUUUAAAGGGUGCGUAGGCGGCACGCCAAGUCAGCGGUGAAAUUUUCGGGCUCAACCCGGACUGUGCCGUUGAAACUGGCGAGCUAGAGUGCACAAGAGGCAGGCGGAAUGCGUGGUGUAGCGGUGAAAUGCAUAGAUAUCACGCAGAACCCCGAUUGCGAAGGCAGCCUGCUAGGGUGCGACAGACGCUGAGGCACGAAAGCGUGGGUAUCGAACAGGAUUAGAUACCCUGGUAGUCCACGCAGUAAACGAUGAAUACUAACUGUUUGCGAUACAAUGUAAGCGGUACAGCGAAAGCGUUAAGUAUUCCACCUGGGGAGUACGCCGGCAACGGUGAAACUCAAAGGAAUUGACGGGGGCCCGCACAAGCGGAGGAACAUGUGGUUUAAUUCGAUGAUACGCGAGGAACCUUACCCGGGCUCAAACGCAGGGGGAAUAUAUAUGAAAGUAUAUAGCUAGCAAUAGUCACCUGCGAGGUGCUGCAUGGUUGUCGUCAGCUCGUGCCGUGAGGUGU
rnacentral:rRNA from 1 species